UACGUAGGGGGCAAGCGUUGUUCGGAAUUACUGGGCGUAAAGGGCGCGUAGGCGGCAUGGCAAGUCAGGAGUUAAAGGCCUGGGCUCAACCGAGGAACUGCUUUUGAUACUGCCAAGCUAGAGUGCGGAAGGGGCAACUGGAAUUCCCAGUGUAGCGGUGAAAUGCGUAGAUAUUGGGAAGAACACCUGAGGCGAAGGCGGGUUGCUGGGCCGACACUGACGCUGAGGCGCGAAAGCCAGGGGAGCAAACGGG
rnacentral:rRNA from 1 species